rnacentral:rRNA from 1 species
CCUACGGGGGGCAGCAGUGGGGAAUAUUGCACAAUGGGCGCAAGCCUGAUGCAGCCAUGCCGCGUGUGUGAAGAAGGCCUUCGGGUUGUAAAGCACUUUCAGUCGUGAGGAAGGCGGGUACGUUAAUAGCGUAUUCGUUUGACGUUAGCGACAGAAGAAGCACCGGCUAACUCCGUGCCAGCGGCCGCGGUAAUACGGAGGGUGCGAGCGUUAAUCGGAAUUACUGGGCGUAAAGCGCAUGCAGGUGGUUUGUUAAGUCAGAUGUGAAAGCCCGGGGCUCAACCUCGGAAUAGCAUUUGAAACUGGCAGACUAGAGUACUGUAGAGGGGGGUAGAAUUUCAGGUGUAGCGGUGAAAUGCGUAGAGAUCUGAAGGAAUACCGGUGGCGAAGGCGGCUUACUGGCCAGCAACUGACGCUGAGGCGCGAAAGCCAGGGGAGCGAACGGGAUUAGAUACCCCAGUAGUC